GACAGAGGGGGCAAGCGUUGCUCGGAAUUACUGGGCGUAAAGGGCGCGUAGGCGGGAUGGCAAGUCGGUCGUGAAAUCCCUCGGCUCAACUGAGGAUCGUCGAUCGAUACUGCCGUUCUUGAGGAUUGCAGAGGAGACUGGAAUUCCCGGUGUAGCGGUGAAAUGUGUAGAGAUCGGGAGGAACACCGGUGGCGAAGGCGGGUCUCUGGGCAAUUCCUGACGCUGAGGCGCGAAAGUGUGGGGAGCAAACGGG
rnacentral:rRNA from 1 species